AUUGGAGAGAAAUUUUUGUUUCCAUUUCUCUUAAUUAAUUCCAUUUAAUUGUCGGUUAAUUUUGUUUAAAUUAAAUUUUCUUCUAAUUUCCAAUAGUGUUAACAAUCAAUUAGAAUCCGUGAACUAUCCUGGAAUAGAAAUAAAAUGCCAAUUAACAAGUUAUUCUAAUUAAAUGUCAUCAAAAACUGUCCACUCAUUGGUACCUGGUGUGAACAAGUGAAUUUAAGGAGAAGAAAAAAAUUAAGCCACCAAUCAAACUGGAUUUAAAUUGAUUUCCAAAGUGAACGUUGCCUUAAGCAAGUGAACCAAGUGGAUAAAAAUACAUAGAGUUGUACAUUCAUCUUCUUUUGGCUUUUUUUUUUCUUCCUUCAUCAACAUCAUUUACUUUCUUCUUCUCAUUUAUUUAAUUUUGAUUUUAGGUGUGAGAUGAUGAAGAAGAUGGUUAAAUGAAAGAGAUGGAAAGAAAUAUAAAUAUUAUUAGUUUUAUUAAUAAUAUUGUAUUAACUUUAUUAUGGUUGAUGCCUUGAGGGUCUAUCGUGUUAACCCAACCCAAUUUAAAAUGGUUCCAUCUACAUAAAAAUGUAUCCAACUCUUGAUUGUAAAAAGUGAAGAUGAUUUAACCUUUGGUUAAGGUGUUGUCGGCACACUGAUAAUUAUCAUCAUCUUUUUUUCCUGAUACUUAAAAAUGUUAAAUUGUAAUCAAAUCACUUUUUGUCUUAAGUACACAUAAGAGAUAUGAUAUUGCUUAAAGUUAAUCUAAUUUAAAUAAUAUCUCUUAUUUAUAUGUUUACCAUUUUUGAUCAUAUACAAUGUACUUAAAACCUUAAAUCAAGAUGAUCAUUAUCAUCAUGAUAAUAAUCAUCUUGCUUUUCUAAGUGUAAAUGUAUUGUUUGUAUUCAAUAAUCUUGUUAAUCUGUUGAUUCUUGUUCAAAACAAAUAGCAAUUAAGGUUUCAGUUUAUUUCACUUUUGGUUAAUCAGCUCAUCGGAUGUGUUUGGGGUCGCCACUUUUUGGAUCUAAAGAUUUGGAUAAAUGGGAUUACAAAGCUUAAAGUUUUGAGAAAAAUUUUGCUUCUUCUUAUAUGGUAUUAAUACAUUCCAGGAUGAUGAUGAUGAUGAUGAUGAUGAGGAGGAUGAGAAGGAGGAGGAAACAGAUGAUGAUAAAUUCAAAAAGGAUCAGAAUUUUUCAUCCAUCUUGUGAUUCAUCUUUACCAUGAUCUUCAUGCAUUUUUAUCCUGCUGAUGAAUGUGAAGUAGUUAUGACAAGACAUCAAAUUGAUCUGGAAGGCUUAACACUGUCACAAUCAAUAAAAAAAGUUUUCUCCGCUACUUCAACAACAAAAACAUCACCAUCAUCAACACCAACACCAACACCAACAACAACACCAUUAAUACAGUAUAUAAAUUUAUCAUGAUCCAUUUAUUGUCAUCAUCCUCCAGGCAGAUCAAAAAGAUCCUUUCACCAUUGUCUAAAUUACAUUAAACUUGACAAUCAAUUUCAUCUCACCAAGAAAAUCAUCAAAAUGUGAUACAAAUGAUUGCCAAACAAUUUACCUUGGACCAGCCAGAAAAAAAAGAAAGUAAUUAAUCAAUGGAGAUUAAUUUAAUUGUGAAUUGAAAUUUAUGUUUCAAUAAAAUGCAAAUGAAUGAUUAUCAACAAUCAAUGGCCUUUUUCCUGAUGUUUGAUAAUUUAACAACAAUCAACUGCUGAUGCUACUAUUUAAAUCAAAUCAAUAGCCUAAUGGUAAUUAAAUAAAUGAAACUGGAGGAGAGCAAUUAAAUGAUGGAAAGAUGAUGAAAUUAGCUUUUCAUAAUCAAUCCUAAUCAAUCUUGGAGAGAAAAAUAAUCUAAAUCUCUAUUGACUAGAAAUGAGAAAAUCUAUUUUCAAAGGUAAUACAACAAUCAAUCCUAAUCCCCCAAUCCAACAACACUAAUUAGCUGACUAAUAAUAAACUAUUUCUAUCAUACUAAUCAUAAUAACAAUAAUAUACACAAUUAGUUCACAUUUAAGUUGAAUGACAAGAAAAAAAAUUAACCUUAAGCUUAUGAACAAUAAUAGUAAUCAGAAAUAAUCAGUCAUCCUAACAAUCAACAUGAAUACUCAAUGUCAUCUAGGUGUUAUCAUGAAUAUUAUUAUUACUUUGAUGAUCAUCUGAUCAGGUAAUCUCAAGUUGAUUUGAUAAUAGUAAUAAUAAUUUACUUAUUAUCAAGUCAAUCGAUUCAUGCAACUAAUACAUAAUAACAAUACUGAUCAUGCAACAAACUAAUCAGAAUGUCUUUGCUUAUUUUCAUCAUGCUAAUCAAUUGUUACCAAAUGAUUAUUAUGAUUAACAUGAUUUAAUCCAAUGGUCUAACCUUUAUUAACUUAACCAAUUAAUCAGGGAGAGAGUAAAUUAAAUUUGAUUGGCUACAAUUAACCUUAAUUUUGAUAGUUUUCCCUCUUACCUUUGAUUGUCCUUUCUGGUUGAAUCAAAGUAUUUGAUUGACAAUAAACUUUACGAUUAAAAAAUAAUCACUAUUAAUUGAUUGCUACUAUUGAACCAAAUUAAUCAAUAUAAUCAAAAGGUUCAAUGAUCUUGAUUAAAUGUAUUAAAUUACCAACACACAGUUUGGCUUGAUUAUGAUUAAAUCACCUUAAUGAUUUGAUAAUUAUUAUUAAAUCUAGUUGAUUAUUUUUACUCUAAUCAAAGUGAUUUAUGUUGUCUGAACAAUCAAUUGAUUUUAUUGAUUGUGUUAAUAUAAAUGAUAUAAUAUUUGAUUAUGGAUUGAAAAUUUAACCAGCAAUCAAUGAGAUGAAAAGUUUAAUGAGACAAUUAAAUUGUAUUCAAUUGAUCAAGUUUUCUCAAGAAUACUAGAAAUUUGUUACCUUAAUUAAUUAAGGAAAAAAACAAUUAACUUCUAUUUUUAUGAUUAAAUUAAUUGUCAUUUGGGUUAAAUUAACAAUUCUCAUUGAUCCGGAUCAAAGUUGAUGAUUACAACUCAAUAUGUUAACAAUUAACUAGCUCGUAAACUUUUACUCGUUGCUAUGAUUAUAAUUAUUUACCAACAAACAAAACUUAAUUAGAGACCAAGAAAUUAAUUUCAAUUGUAAUUAAAUAAAUUACAGUUUCCAUUGAAAUGAUUUGUUUUUUCAUUACUCCAACUAGUUUAUGAUUGUAAUAAACAUUUCAAUGUCUUUGCAAUUUUUUAACUUCCAAGAACUGGAUCAUCUUUAUCAUCCUCAUCCUCAUCCUCAUCCUCAUCUUUAUCUUCAUCUUUAACCUUAAUCCUUAUUAACACACAAUCGCCACUGUUGCAAGUCCAAAAAGGUUACACCACCGACGGAGGUCAGUGAGGGUCAGUCUUUUUAUUUUUCUUUUACAGCUCUUGACAUUUGUUAUUUAGUUUUUCUUUCUGGUCAUUAGAUUGAUCAUCCUCAUCCUCCAUUAACAUCAUCCUUUGAUCGUCCUCAUCUUUUAUCCUUCUUGGAAAUGCAACUUUUUUACGACAAAAUAUCAGCUUACAUCCUCCAUCAUUUGCAACUUGAACGGUAAACAACACUGACCAUUGGGAUGAAGAUGAAGCAACAAAUUGUUUACGAGGCUGUAAAAAUAAUAAUAAACAAAGGGAGAGAGAUGAAGAUAAAAUUGAAUAACAUUCGCAGUGUUUAUGAUUAUUGUUGAUGUUUACUUGGUGAUGGUCAUCUUUAACUUGGUCAUUUCAACUUUUUUAUAUCUUUCACUACUACUUGCUAUUCAUUGUAAUUGUAAUUGGAUAUUUAUUCAACCUGCCAAUGGUUUUAACAUCUUCCUCCUCUUCAUCUUCAUCUUUAUCCACCUCCUUGUCUUACCAUCUCUAUCUUUAUCCUCAUCUCCAUCAUCUUAAUCUUUAAACUGCUCUUUAUCCUCUUGUUAGUCUUUAUUUUUUUUUGUCUCUUUAUUUCCCUGAUUGUUGUUGUUGUUGUUUCUUGAUUCCUUGAGUUUAUGAGUUUCUACCAAUCAGUAAAUUGUUAAACAAUAAUCAUAAACACUCAUGUAAAUUGUUAUGUUAUGUUGUCGUUGACCUAAUAAAAACAAGGAAAAGAGAUUAAGAUUAAAUGAGUUUAAAUUAAUCUGUUGUUUUACAAGAUGUACCAUGUUGUUUGGAUGAUCCUGAUCAUCAUGAUGAAAGAAGAGGCAAAGUAAUCAAUGUCAACUGAUUUAUUCACAAUUACAAUUAAUUUUAAUCUUGGAAAUACAGAAAAAAAGACUGAGAAAAAUUCAUUCA